UACGUAGGGGGCUAGCGUUGUCCGGAAUCAUUGGGCGUAAAGAGCGUGUAGGCGGUCCGGUAAGUCCGCUGUGAAAGUCGGGGGCUCAACCCUCGAAUGCCGGUGGAUACUGUCGGGCUAGAGUACGGAAGAGGAGAGUGGAAUUCCUGGUGUAGCGGUGAAAUGCGCAGAUAUCAGGAAGAACACCUAUGGCGAAGGCAGCUCUCUGGGACGGUACUGACGCUGAGACGCGAAAGCGUGGGGAGCGAACAGG
rnacentral:rRNA from 1 species